rnacentral:misc_RNA from 1 species
UCCGGUUUAACACCGGCAGUCUCACUAGAGUCCUCAGCAUUACCUGUUAGCAACUAGCGAUAGGGGUUGCGCUCGUUAAGGGACUUAACCCGACACUUCACAGCACGAGCUGACGACAGCCAUGCAGCACCUGUGCACGUUCCACUACAAGAGUGUCAUCCCGAUUUCUCGGGACUAAUCCGUGCAUGUCAAGCCCAGGAUAAGGUUCUUCGCGUUGCUUCGAAUUAAGCCACAUGCUCCACCGCUUGUGUGAGCCCCCGUCAAUUCCUUUGAGUUUUAGCCUUGCGACCGUACUCCCCAGGCGGUGCACUCAUCGUUUUUACUUCGACCGAGAUUGGGGUCAGACCCAUCCUCGAUCACGUGCACAUCGUUUACGGCGUGGACUAC